rnacentral:rRNA from 1 species
GAUGAACGCUGGCGGCGUGCCUAAUACAUGCAAGUCGAGCGAACAGACGAGGAGCUUGCUCCUCUGACGUUAGCGGCGGACGGGUGAGUAACACGUGGAUAACCUACCUAUAAGACUGGGAUAACUUCGGGAAACCGGAGCUAAUACCGGAUAAUAUAUUGAACCGCAUGGUUCAAUAGUGAAAGACGGUUUUGCUGUCACUUAUAGAUGGAUCCGCGCCGCAUUAGCUAGUUGGUAAGGUAACGGCUUACCAAAGCAACGAUGCGUAGCCGACCUGAGAGGGUGAUCGGCCACAAUGGAACUGAGACACGGUCCAGAAUCCUACGGGAGGCAGCAGUAGGGAAUCUUCCGCAAUGGGCGAAAGCUUGACGGAGCAACGCCGCGUGAGUGAUGAAGGUCUUCGGAUCGUAAAACUCUGUUAUUAGGGAAGAACAAAUGUGUAAGUAACUAUGCACGUCUUGACGGUACCUAAUCAGAAAGCCACGGCUAACUACGUG